UAGGGAAUUUUCCGCAAUGGGCGAAAGCCUGACGGAGCAACGCCGCGUGAGUGAUGAAGGUCUUCGGAUCGUAAAACUCUGUUAUUAGGGAAGAACAAAUGUGUAAGUAACUAUGCACGUCUUGACGGUACCUAAUCAGAAAGCCACGGCUAACUACGUGCCAGCAGCCGCGGUAAUACGUAGGUGGCAAGCGUUAUCCGGAAUUAUUGGGCGUAAAGCGCGCGUAGGCGGUUUUUUAAGUCUGAUGUGAAAGCCCACGGCUCAACCGUGGAGGGUCAUUGGAAACUGGAAAACUUGAGUGCAGAAGAGGAAAGUGGAAUUCCAUGUGUAGCGGUGAAAUGCGCAGAGCUAUGGAGGAACACCAGUGGCGAAGGCGACUUUCUGGUCUGUAACUGACGCUGAUGUGCGAAAGCGUGGGGAUCAAACAGG
rnacentral:rRNA from 1 species